UUUCAGAAUUACGAACCGUGUGUUCAAAAGUUUGAGAAAACGCCUAGAGCUGUGAAUAGGUGCCAGAGAAAUUAAUUAUGAUAAUAAAGCUUCUGGGAAGAGGUGGAAAUGCUGGAAUGAUCAAAUCAUCUGUAAUUAUGAGGAACAUUUUUUUUUUCUCCUUAGUAACACAGAGCUUCAUGGAAUGCGUGUGUUGCCUGCAGAAAUGUUAGGGGCCAGGAUGUCAUUCUUUCAGAAACAAAACAGACAAGAACUGAAAGACCAAAAAAAGGAAGAGAAGGAAAAUCAAAGAAAAGCCAAAGCAAACAAAUACCUCACAGGUCACAAUGGAGGAGACAGAGCUUUGAAAAGAAGUCCAGGGAAAUUCCCUGAGAAGACUCACUCUGCCCAGCCUACAGAGUUGGGGGCAGGUCCCACCUCUCCCUCGUACCCUCCAUCCCUGCCCACUGGGAGCCAGCUCUAUGCUGCUGCAGAAGAAUCAGGCACCCGGGGGAAAGAAGAGAGAUUAAAAUUUUGA
rnacentral:lncRNA from 1 species